GACGAACGCUGGCGGCGUGCUUAACACAUGCAAGUCGAACGAAGAGCGAUGGAAGCUUGCUUCUACCACUCUUAGUGGCGAACGGGUGAGUAACGCGUAAUCAACCUGCCCUUCAGAGGGGGACAACAGUUGGAAACGACUGCUAAUACCGCAUACGAUCUAAUCUCGGCAUCGAGGAUAGAUGAAAGGUGGCCUCUACAUGUAAGCUAUCACUGAAGGAGGGGAUUGCGUCUGAUUAGCUAGUUGGAGGGGUAACGUCCCACCAAGGCGAUGAUCAGUAGCCGGUCUGAGAGGAUGAACGGCCACAUUGGGACUGAGACACGGCCCAGACUCCUACGGGAGGCAGCAGUGGGGAAUCUUCCGCAAUGGACGAAAGUCUGACGGAGCAACGCCGCGUGAGCGAUGACGGCCUUCGGGUUGUAAAGCUCUGUUAAUCGGGACGAAAGGCCUUCUUGCGAAUAGUGAGAAGGAUUGACGGUACCGGAAGAGAAAGCCACGGCUAACUACGUG
rnacentral:rRNA from 1 species